rnacentral:rRNA from 1 species
UACAGAGGUCCCAAGCGUUGUUCGGAUUCACUGGGCGUAAAGGGUGCGUAGGUGGCAGUGUAAGUCUGAUGUGAAAGCUUCGAGCUUAACUCGAAAAUGGCAUUGGAUACUAUAUUGCUGGAGGUUUGGAGGGGGGACUGGAAUUCUCGGUGUAGCAGUGAAAUGCGUAGAUAUCGAGAGGAACACCGGUGGCGAAGGCGAGUCCCUGGACAACACCUGACACUGAGGCACGAAAGCUAGGAGAGCAAACAGG